rnacentral:rRNA from 1 species
GAUGAACGCUGGCGGCGUGCCUAAUACAUGCAAGUCGAGCGAACUGAUUAGAAGCUUGCUUCUAUGACGUUAGCGGCGGACGGGUGAGUAACACGUGGGCAACCUGCCUGUAAGACUGGGAUAACUUCGGGAAACCGAAGCUAAUACCGGAUAGGAUCUUCUCCUUCACGGGAGAUGAUUGAAAGAUGGUUUCGGCUAUCACUUACAGAUGGGCCCGCGGUGCAUUAGCUAGUUGGUGAGGUAACGGCUCACCAAGGCAACGAUGCAUAGCCGACCUGAGAGGGUGAUCGGCCACACUGGGACUGAGACACGGCCCAGACUCCUACGGGAGGCAGCAGUAGGGAAUCUUCCGCAAUGGACGAAAGUCUGACGGAGCAACGCCGCGUGAGUGAUGAAGGCUUUCGGGUCGUAAAACUCUGUUGUUAGGGAAGAACAAGUGCAAGAGUAACUGCUUGUACCUCGACGGUACCUAACCAGAAAGCCACGGCUAACUACGUGCCAGCCGCCGCGGUAAAAC